UCUCUCUCUGGAGAUUGCUUCUUGUGAAGUUUCUUGUGAGUGUAGAACACCACGUCUUCCUGUUGAGCAUCAGGACCAAGAAUGCAAAGAAGAACACAAGAAGAGUAAAGAGACAAAAGUGACAAAAGCCUGGAGAGGAUGGGAGGCCCUGGGGAAAAGGACAGUUACGUUCCACAAGGGGGAGAUGCGUAGCAUGUAGCAGAAUGGGAUGAAUACUGUAGAUGAAUCAUUUAAAUCUAAUGGCCUCAUCAUUAUCUGAUGUGAAAUCCACAUUCCUGCCUCCUGCUAGGGAAUAUUGCUGCUAAUCUAAACUGAAGCUAAUCUUGGGAUGCUUUUGUGCUUGAAGGGCUAUCUCAAUAAAUUUUGAAAGUGGGGUUUGUAUGCAGGCUAGUUAUUUUUCUACGAUUAAUCAUUUCUUCUAGUUGUAGUAAAUAUUCCACGACUUGAGAGAUAGAAUGAUAAGUAUUUGCAUUAAUCAGAAAAUAUAAUGAGUAAUGAACUGUUUUAUACCAAACCACCUUUUAGUUUGUUGUUACGGAGAACAUAAAAUACUGACAUUAAUGACAACAAAUCUCAUUUAAUUUUAUAAAUACUAAUAUUAGUAAAUAACCCAUUUACUGUAUCAGGUGAAGUACUUACUCAGUUGAAGCACACAGCAUGUUGUGUGCCCAAUAGUGGGUUUUUGUCUAUCCAGGUCACUGGAAAUAAGAGUUCAUUGGAAUUCAAUUUCAUCUACUAUGUUUGUAACCAUCUGAUGUUAAAUAUUAUAUUACCAAAAAGUACAUUUAUACCAAGUUAUUUAUAACCUUGUAAUCCUUGUAAAUCACAAAGAUCAAGAGUCAACUUAAAUAUUAUUUAAUAGCUGGUGUACAUGAUAGGAGUUAUUUUGCCUACUCUAUGAAAUUACUACAGUAGUGUAGACUUACUAUGUAGUCCGAUGUUAGGUUCCUCAAACCCAAAAAGAUAUCAAGGAAUAUCAUAAAGGUCAAUAAAUUGUAUAGAUUUUUGCAGCGUGAACCAACUAGGAGAUCAAAACAAGUAUUGGCAGUGGUAAUUCCUGAUUUUGUUUUUGAUCAGCAUUUGUAUUGACAUGAAACUACACAAACUGGGGUGCUGUAGUGAAUGUAAGAGAUUUCAUACCUGUUCUAAUAUGUAAGACUAAAGAUUAGGACUGAUAAAUUGAAUUCUAUGUAUUAGAGUCCUUACAGUGUUAAUUGCAAUGAGAGUGGGAUGGUAAUGAUAAUAACUGAAACAGCAUAAACAGAUUAAAAACUGUUACAGCAGCAGGUAACAUGCUAUCUUUUUAUGAAAAUGUAACAUUUACAAUAAAAAAUGAUCUU
ensembl:lncRNA